GCCCCGGUAGCUCAGUGGUGGAGCGGCGGCCUUGUAAGCCGCAGGUCCCGGGUUCAAUCCCCGGCCGGGGCU
rnacentral:tRNA from 2 species